rnacentral:rRNA from 1 species
AUACGGAGGGUGCAAGCGUUACUCGGAAUCACUGGGCGUAAAGCGCGCGCAGGCGGUUUUUUAAGUUGGAUGUGAAAUCCUAUAGCUUAACUAUAGAACUGCAUCCAAAACUAUUAGACUAGAGUCUGGGAGAGGUAAGUGGAAUUAGUUGUGUAGGGGUAAAAUCCGUAGAGAUAACUAGGAAUACCAAAAGCGAAGGCAACUUACUGGAACAGUACUGACGCUGAGGCGCGAAAGCGUGGGGAGCAAACAGGAUUAGAUACCCUAGUAGUCC